UUUGAUGUACUGUUGGCUAAGGCCUUUCCCUUCUUGAACUUAUUUGUGUGAUGGUUUCCUUUUAUUGCAUCUUGAUCUCAUAAGCUUAUCCAUGGCUCGGUCUUUUUGCACUUUCACCUGAUGUGAGACUGGAAUCCAGGGGUUAGAAUACCCCUUUGGAAUCGAUAAACAUGUUAUUACAUUAACAUAUCCAUUUGCAUAUCUUGCAUAACAGGUACUGCUGCGGUGUUCUCAUAUUAUGUGGUGUUCCAC
rnacentral:lncRNA from 1 species